rnacentral:rRNA from 1 species
AUUGAACGCUGGCGGCAUGCCUUACACAUGCAAGUCGAACGGUAACAGGUCUUCGGAUGCUGACGAGUGGCGAACGGGUGAGUAAUACAUCGGAACGUGCCUAGUAGUGGGGGAUAACUACUCGAAAGAGUGGCUAAUACCGCAUGAGAUCUACGGAUGAAAGCAGGGGAUCGCAAGACCUUGUGCUACUAGAGCGGCCGAUGGCAGAUUAGGUAGUUGGUGGGAUAAAAGCUUACCAAGCCGACGAUCUGUAGCUGGUCUGAGAGGACGAUCAGCCACACGGGGACUGGGACACGGCCCAGAGUCCGUCGGGGGGCAGCAGUGGGGAAUUUUGGACAAUGGGGGCAAGCCUGAUCCAGCAAUGCCGCGUGCAGGAUGAAGGCCUUCGGGUUGUAAACUGCUUUUGUACGGAACGAAAAGCCCUGGGUUAAUACCCUGGGGUCAUGACGGUACCGUAAGAAUAAGCACCGGCUAACUACGUGCCAGCAGCCGCCGUAACAC